GAUGCCUACGGGGGGCAGCAGUGAGGAAUAUUGGUCAAUGGGCGGAAGCCUGAACCAGCCAAGUCGCGUGAGGGAAGAAGGCCCUGCGGGUCGCAGACCUCUUUGGACGGGGAGCAAGGCCGCCGACGUGUCGGCGGAAGGAGAGUACCCGUAGAACAAGCAUCGGCUAACUCCGUGCCAGCAGCCGCGGUAAUACGGAGGAUGCGAGCGUUAUCCGGAUUUAUUGGGUGUAAAGGGCGUGUAGGCGGGAGCGAAAGGCAG
rnacentral:rRNA from 1 species